rfam:Schistosoma rodhaini strain Burundi genome assembly, scaffold: SROB_scaffold0001150
AUCCAGUUGACGAGUCCCGAACAGGAAGAAACUCACGUCCUGGAU